CUAUUGUGCUCCUUGCCUUCUUGUCCAUCUUCUACCAAACCUUAUCUGCCAUAUCAACUGCCUUAUUCUCUAUCCCGAGAACAGCCUCGUACAGAUCUUGUAGAAUCAGGACACUCUUCAUCCUCCUCCGCCAAAGCGUGAAGUCAUCCUUGCCAUUUAAGGGUUUAAUGAACGAUUUCACAUCUUCUGCUUCGACCAUGCCUUUGCUGUCUACCAUCGCAAAGUACCAGAGCCGAAGCUCUGAUACCACUUAUUGUGGUUAGCGCCCUAGGAUCUUUUCUGGUCUUUACUGGUACUUUACGACUUAAGCAAAGUAGAUGGAUGAACUUGAAGAUAGAAACACAACACAACACUCAUAUCCUAUCUAUUGAUUUCUAUGCAGGAACAUAAGUGGUGAAUCUUUGUAGAGGAAGCAGCAUUUGUCCCAGGACAAUGAGCCUACAGUAGAGAUGCGUGAAAACAGUAGUUAAGGUUUAUCUAUCUAUAUCAUGAGUGGAUCAAAUUCACAACAAAACUGAUGUCCAAGAUAUCAUAGAUCGGCAUGUUCACAUAAAGGAAGCUAAUCUGUAGCCAAUCCCUAAGAACGCGGCAAGGCGCACUCAUGCUGAAGGCUCUAAAUAAAGAGUUUCAAGUCAAGAUGAUUGAGUGAGAGUCAGUGAAUGAUCUCUUACAUGGUGCUGGAUAAGAUGACAAGAAUGGUGAUACGAUGCUGGUUGGUGAUUCCCUAGUAGUCAGUGUGACUGUUCGACACCAAACAUUUCCACAAACGGUGAAUGGAGCAAAUGAUGUUACUGAUAAGUCUGAACACAAGGCGCAAAGGAUGAAUGGGGCUAAAGUUAGUAAUGCCACUGAACAGGAGGCUCAUGAUACUAAUGUGGGCGAUGAGUCUGAAUCGCAAGUUGUGACUGUACCUUAUUUCAAUUGUAGGUCUGAAAUGGAUUGCUGCACUAUGAAUGGUUUUCAACUCCAAGUAGUGGGGGCAGGGAGAUCGCCACCUAGUGGAAACAAUGGUGUGAACCCUUGCC